GGGGAAGUGGCUACAGGGGGGAAAAAUGUGUUACUAAAUGCUCUGUAUUUUGAAGGCUGAACUGAUAUCAGCGGACCACAGUGACAAAUUAGGUGAUGUGUGAUGGGGGCGGUCCUUCUGUGUGUAUGAUUGUCUCAUUGGUUGAUAAAUAAAGUACUGUUGCCCAAUAGGAAAACAAGAUAGGUGGGACUAGGAGUCAAGGAGGAUUCUGGGAAAGGUAGGAGAAAGUGCAGAGUCACCAUGUGAGGCCAGGAAGACAGGACGCUUCCGCUGGCAUCCGAUAAGAUAAGUGUUAUAAAAUAUAUAGAUUUAUGAUAAUUAAGACUGAGCUAGCAGGUGAGAAAUCCUAGUCACUGACCAAGCAGCAUUUGUACCUAAUAUAAGUCUUUGUGUGUUACUUGGGACCAUAACAUGGUGGCAGACGGAACUUUCGUGGCCGGGCAGAAAGCACCCAUGUGGCAGCAGGGCUCCGGUGGCUCUGGAGUAAAGACUUAUUGUUACAGGUGUGUCGUGAGAAUUCGUGCUACACGAUCUGACAGUCUGGGCAGUGGAGGAGAGGAUGGCCUAGAAGCCCUUCCCCUAGAAUGAGAUUGAUGACUACUCUCUAUGCUAUGGAGAGUCCUCAUCCAGUGGCUAAUGGAAGCAGAGACACAGAAAUACACUGAGCUGAAAUCUGGAACCUAGUUGAAGAGAGGGAGGAAUGAAGAACGAAGGGGUCUGUACCAGGUUGGAGAAACCCACAGAAACAGUUGGCCUGAAAAAGGGAAAGCAUAUCGACCCCAGACGCUCUUUGGGAGGCCAGUACGGGACUAAUCCAGCCCCCUGAUCAUGGAUGCCAAUGGGGAGGCCCCUGCACUCCUGGGAGCCUCCGGAGGUGGACUGGCGUUUUGCCCUGGUGUGUGUGGGGGACUUCGAGAGCCCAUCCCACUUGAAGGGAUGCACUCUGUCUCUGAACACAUGGGGAGGGACCUAGGCCCAGCACAGGAAGAUUUGGUGGACUUGGUGGAGCCCCGGUUGGGGGCCCUACCCUGCCUGGGG
rnacentral:lncRNA from 1 species